CCUGAUGGCAAGUUCUACCUAGGAGAUGCUGGCUAUGCAUGUCGGCCUGGUGUUCUUCCACCCUUCAGGAAAAUUAGGUACCAUCUGAACGAGUUUGGUUGGAACUAUCCUAGGGUUGCACAGGAAUUGUUUAAUCUGGGACACUCUAGCCUUACAGUUAUGGUUGAGAGGGCAUUUGGAGCUGUGAAGAAUAUAUUUAAAAUCCUGGAUCAGAAGCCAUCCCACACUUUUCCCACCCAGGUUAAGCUUGUUCUUGGAUGUUGCAUCCUUCAUAACUAGAUCCUACAAUGGGGAUAUGAUGAGGUUGUGCCAGAGGAGGAUGUGACGGCUGAUGAUGUUGAUAGCUCCGACCAUGCUGUGGAGGCUUUUGACAAUGAAGCGUGGAAGAACAAAAGGUUGGAGUAG
rnacentral:rRNA from 1 species